AAUUGCUCCAGAUUCCAGAAAAUAAAAGCAGGAAAGGUUGGCUGAACAGGGAAGGAAAAUAUGUCAAAAACAAAAGACAAAUGAUCAUCUCAGGAAAAGUUCCUGGCCCUCUAAACUCUGUGCGGGGUAGCCACACGUGCCCGUGGCAAAGCACUGUGUCCUUGGAGAGCCCUACAUGCUGCAACUGAAACCAACAAGACACGGCUCAGACAGGGAGCAGGUUCCGCUAACAGUGGGGAGGGGACAUCUGGCAGCGCCUCUCCCAAGCAGCAAUGGUAGCAGUGGUGGCAGCAACAGCAGCAGCAGCUGGGGAGUGUCCAUCCAGCCUCAGAGUGAGCAGCAGCAGCUGACCAGAUUGGAAGACAUUUCCAAUGUCUUCCGUGGCAGCUGUGAUGUGUUGUGUGGUAGCAGCUGAGGAUUGCUGGUGUGUAAUCUUUGAGGUUCCAAGAUGCUUUUUGGAAGUGGAGCCUGGUCAAGCAGCAGAAAGGACAGCUGGAUCCAUGCUGGGUGGGGUGAGGUGGGGUGCAUGUCAGGGAAGUUGGCUUCAGCUGGAACUGGAGGUUGGCUUCAGCAGAGGAGGUUGAACAUCACUGAUUCCUGACCUGCAGCACCCAAAUGGUCACAAAGAGAUGUCAUGGGUUUGAGGAGGCCACAGAGCCAACAGCUUUAGUGUCUUCAGAAGGAUGAAGAAAACUUGAACAACAUUUUAAAAUAGCUUUAUUGAGAUAUAAUUCACAUCCCAGAGAAUGCAUCCAUCUAAAGGGUACAAUUCAAUGGAUUUUUGUAUAUUCACAGAGCUGUGCAUUCAUCACUGCAAUUAAUCAUAGAACUUCUUCAUUUACUCAAAAUACCCCAGCACCCCUUAGCUAUCACCCUAAUUCCUCUAUCUCCCCCAGCCCUAGGCAACCAUUAAUCUCCUUUUUGUAUCCAUAGAUUUGCCUAUCCUAGACAUUUCAUAUAAACUGAAUCAUGCAAUAUAGGACGCUUCUUUCACUUUGUGUAACGCUGUCAAGGUACAUCCAGGUUAUAUCAGUUUCUCAUUCUUUUUAUGACCAAAUCACAUUCCAUUGUAUGGCUAUACUACAUUUUAUUUAUCUGUUCAUCAGUCGGUGGACAUUUGGGUUGGUUUCCAUGUUUUUGGCUGUCAGAAAUAAUGUCGCCAUGAACAUUCAUGUACAAGCUUUUGUGGGGACAUGUGUUUUCAUUUCUCUUGGGCAUAUGCCUAGGAGUGGAAUUGAGUCACAUGGUAACUUUAUAAUCAUUUGAGGAACAUCCAGACUGUUUUUCAAAGUGGCUACAACAUUGUACCUCCCCACCAGCAAUGUACAAGGGUUCCAGUUUCUCCACAUCUUUUUCAACUUUUUUUUAUCAUUUGACUUUGUUUUUUUUUUUUUUUGAGACAGAAUCUCACUCUGUCGCCAGGCUGGAGUGCAGUGGCGUGAUCUCAGCUCACUGCAACCUCCGCCUCCCAGGUUCAAGCGAUUCUCCUGCCUCAGCCUCCCAAGUAGCUGGGACUCCAGGUACUUGCCACCAUGCCCAGCUAAUGUUUGUAUUUUUAGCAGAGACGGGGUUUCACCAUGUUCAUCAAGAUGGUCUUGAUCUCUUGACCUUGUGACCCACCCGCCUCAGCCUCCCAAAGUGCUGGGAUUACAGGCAUGAGCCACCACGCCUGGCCUCAUCUGACUUUUUAAUUAAAGCUAUCUUAGUGGACAUGAAGUGAUAUCUCAUUAUGGUUUUGAUUUGCAUUUCUCCCAUGACUAAUAAUAUUCAGGACCUCUUAAUGUGCUUAUUGGCUAUUUGUAUAUCUUUUUUAAAGAAAUAUCUAUUCAGAUCCAUUGCUCAUUUUUGAAUUGGGCUAUUUGUCUUUUUAUUCUAGAGUUGUAAUUGUUCUUUAUAUAUUCUAGAUACAAGCAAUUUAUUAUGUUUAUAAUUUGCAAACAAUUUUUUCCCAUUCUUUGGAUUAUCUUUUCACUGUUUUGAUAGUGUCUUUUGAAGCCCCAAAGUUUUUAAUUCUGAUGGUCAGUUUAUCCGUUUUUUCUUUAGUUGAUCUUGCUUUUGGUGUCAAUCUAAGAAUGCAGUGCCAAAUCCGGGGUCAUAAGGAUUUAUCACUAUGUUUUUUUUCUGUGAGUUAUAGUUUUAGCUCUUAUUUAUAGGUCAUUGAUCCAUUUUGAGUUAGUUUUUUUAUACAGUGUGAAAUAUGGAUCCAACUUCAUUCUUUUGCAUGUGGAAAUUCAAUUGUCCCCACAUCAUUUGCUGAGGGGACUAUUCUUUUUCCAUUGAAAGAGGUUGGCACUCUUGCUAAAAAUCAACUGGCCGUAGAUAUAUGGGUUAAUUUCUGGGCUCUCAGUUCCAUUCUGUUGAUGUAUAGAUCUGUCCUUAUGCCCAUACCACACUGUUUUGAUUACUUUCAUUUUGUAGCAGGUUUUAAAAUUGGGAAGCAUGAAUUAUCCAACUUUUUCAAGACUGCUUUGGUAUUUGUGUUUUCUUGAAUUUUCAUAUGCAUUUUAAAAGCAACUUGUCCAUUGCUGUAGUCAGAAUUUUGAUAGGGAUUGUAUUGAAUUUGGAAUCUGGGAGCAUUGCUAUCUUAAUAAUGUUAAGUUUUUCAAUCUAUAAACAUGGAAUAUCUUCCCACUCAUUUAGAUCUUCUUUAGUUUUCAACAGUAUUUUGUAGUUUUCAGAGCAUAAGUUUUGUACAUCUUUUGUUAAGUAUAUUCAUAAGUAUCUUUCUGAUGCUAAUAUAAAUGGGAUUUUUUUUUUUUUAAGACAAAGUUUUGCUCUGUCACCAAGGCUGGAGUGCAGUGGUGUGAUCUCAGCUCACUGCAACCUCUGACUCUCUGGUUCAAGUGAUUCCCCUGCCUCAGCCUCCCAAGUAGCUGGGAUUACAGGUGCCAACCACCACACCUAGCUAAUUUUUUGUAUUUUUAGUAGAGACAAGGUUUCACCAUGUUGGCCAGGCUGGUCUCGAACUCCUGACCUCAAGUGAUCCACCUGCCUCAGCCUCCCAAAGUACUGGGAUUAUAGGCAUGAGCCACUGUACCCAGACUGGAAUUGUUUUCUUAACUUCAUUUUUGAUUUGCUCAUAGCUAUUGUAUAGAAAUACAACUGAGUUUUGUACACUG